AUUGAAACACCGAUUCCCGUAAGACCAACGAAGUUUAGCAAUGUCGAGCCUGGUCAGUACCUAGAUGGGUGACCACUUGGGAAUACCAGGUGCUGUAA